rnacentral:rRNA from 1 species
UGCCAGCCGCCGCGGUAAUACGGAGGGUGCAAGCGUUGUUCGGAAUUACUGGGCGUAAAGCGCGCGUAGGCGGCUUUUUAAGUCAGAUGUGAAAGUCCAUGGCUCAACCAUGGAAGUGCAUUUGAAACUGUAUAACUUGAGUACUGGAGGGGGUGGUGGAAUUCCCGGUGUAGAGGUGAAAUUUGUAGAUAUCGGAAGGAACACCAGUGGCGAAGGCGACUUCCUGGGCCAAUACUGACGCUGAGGUGCGAAAGCGUAGGGAGCAAACAGGAUUAGAUA